AGAGAAGGUUACAAGAGCGGACGGCGGAUGCCUAGGCUUCUGGAGGCGACGAAGGACGUGGUAAGCUGCGUUAAGCACCGGGGAACUGCAAACAGGUAUUGAUCCGGUGAUAUCCGAAUGGGGCAACCCGGCAUGUUGAAGACAUGUCACCAGCUGAGCUGGAGCGAACGAGGGGAACUGAAACAUCUCAGUACCCUCAGGAAGAGAAAGAAAUUAUCGAUUCCCUUAGUAGUGGCGAUCGAACGGGGAAGAGCCUAAACCGGUUCUGUUACGGCAGGAUCGGGGUUGUAGGAUCAAUCAUGGCGAUAUGCAAUCGAACUGGAACGUUCUGGAAAGUUCGAUCAAAGAGGGUGAUAAUCCCGUACAGGUAAGAGUGCAUAUCCGAGAUUGACACCUGAGUAGGGCGGGACACGUGAAAUCCUGUCUGAAUCCGCGGGGACCAUCCCGCAAGGCUAAAUACUCCCAGAAGACCGAUAGUGAACCAGUACUGUGAAGGAAAGGUGGGAAGCACCCCUGGCAGGGGAGUGAAAUAGAACCUGAAACCGUCCGUUUACAAGCGGUUGGAGCCCUUCGGGGCGACAGCGUGCCUUUUGCAUAAUGAGCCUACGAGUUGCUUCUGUCCGGCGAGGUUAAGUACUUCAGGUACGUAAGCCGAAGCGAGAGCGAGUCUGAACAGGGCGUUCAGUCGGACGGAGCAGACGCGAAACCUAGUGAUCUACCCAUGGCCAGGUUGAAGUUCCCGUAACAGGGAAUGGAGGACCGAACCGGUUUACGUUGAAAAGUGCUCGGAUGAGCUGUGGGUAGGGGUGAAAGGCUAAUCAAACUGGGAGAUAGCUCGUACUCCCCGAAA
rnacentral:rRNA from 1 species